rnacentral:lncRNA from 1 species
GAGCUCUUUCUGAGAUGAAGAGAACUCUCAAUGUCAAGAUUUCAACAAGAAGAGAAUGGAAUACACGAUACGGACAUCCAUAAAAAUUCUUCAGAGGGUGUUUUACUACUGAGCUGCAAAGAUGACAAGAGCACCUCAAAGGCAGCAGCCUCAAGAAGCAGCCAUGGCCCCAGAGUUGUCCCACGGAUGCAGAAAACUUAAUGGAGGAGGCUGAGGUCAGAAUGGGAAGAGUUUUUAAAAAGUAAAAAGGGGAGCUAA